rnacentral:rRNA from 1 species
CACUAUGCUUAGCCGUAAACAUUGACAGUAUUUUACACCCACUGUCCGCCCGGGGACUACAAGCGAAAGCUCGAAACCCAAAGGACUUGGCGGUGCUUUAGACCCCCCUAGAGGAGCCUGUUCUAGAACCGAUAACCCCCGUUCAACCUCACCCUUUCUUGUAUCUUCCCGCCUAUAUACCACCGUCGUCAGCCCACCCUGUGAAGGACGCAUAGUGCGCAAAAUUGGCCCUGCCCAAAACGCCAGGUCGAGGUGUAGCUAAUGAAAGGGGAAGAAAUGGGCUACAUUCCCCCUCACCGGGGAACUACGAACGAGUGCACUGAAACGUGCCUCCGAAGGAGGAUUUAGCAGUAAGUAGAAAGUAGAGAGUUCUGCUGAAACCGGCCCUGAAGCGCGCACACACCGCCCGUCACUCUCCCCAAGCUACCAUAGCACAUUAACUAAAACGUCAAAACCGCAGAGGGGAGGCAAGUCGUAA